GAGUCACUCCUCCACGCGUCUUCAUCUCUAAGAAGAAGAAAAGCAAGAAAGACGACAGCCACAGCUUCUCCUCGAGACCUGACGAAGCCACGACCCGUUUCCUGAAUCCAUUCUUCUCAAAGAGGAAGGAUGAAUGGUUCUCGUAAGCAAUCAAUCGUCUACGCUGUUCGAGAUUACCAACCACUAAAAGAAAGCAGCGUCGCUUGCUCUGCCACGAUGACGGACGGAGCAAGAAGCUUAACGAUGCGGCGCGGAUUGAUCACCGACGUUUCUGCCGAGAGAUGUUGAGAGAAUCAUAGACACGUUUGCUCUGAAUCGAGAGGCUUCCCGUAAAAAUGAAUGUUUCUUCUUCUUACACGUUGACAUAGAAUCAAUAACUCUUUAUGAUCAGUCAUUGUAAUUUGGAAAUGUGUAGGUUAGCUUCUCGGAAGAUAGAAUCAUGAGCAGUUAUGUGACGCCGCUGGUGAGGAAAGAGUCAAGUCCUGUGGUGCUCUUCACGGAUUUGAUAGUUUUUCAAGUAUUGGUAUGCGUUCCCAAGAGCAGAGUGAAAGUCUGAAGUCUCACAAGUACCAUACUGGGAGUGAUUGUGAAGUGCUUGCCCAUCUUGUAAGUACCAUUUCUUGCUUCCGUAGAUA